rnacentral:misc_RNA from 1 species
ACAAAUACUGCUCAAUGUGUAUUUAUUUCUAAACAGGAUAGUCUUGUAGUUAUUGAGAGGGAGAAUUUGGUGAACUGUAUCAUUGUUGUUCAUUUUUUGACGGAGUUUAGGUCUCCUGAUCUUCUGUAUUUUGUUACUCCAUAUGCAACGAUUUUAAAAUGCAAGUGAUUAACAGUACUUGUCGUGUCUAGAACUCUUUAAUAUCAUUGGAAGUUAAGCUCGUAACACUAUUGUGUAUUCAGGUUCUAGGCGUAGAUUAACCAAAUGAUAUGCCUAUGUAGAUGGUUAGUUUUAGAAAUAAAUGUUCAUCAUCUAUAUAAUGUUAGCACGAUGUAAAGACUAGUAAUUUGAAUGCUUCUAUGAUUCAAGUGCUACUAUUCAAAAUUGCUUAUCAGUUUACCUUCGAUUUGAUUUAGA